AUAGACGGAGGGGUGGCCAUUUUUCCGGGCACCACUAUAUACCCCUGGGGAGUGACGGAUUACAAUUAUUACAAUCACUCGACCAUUGAGAAGCCCCUCAAUUCGAACCACGUCAGUUUGACAACAGUUGUCAUUUUCAUUUUUGUUUUUGUUAUGUUUUUCUGUUUUUCCCUCGCGUGCCGCACAGCAACAACUUUUUCGGUUGUUCUUUUUUAUUUAUUUAAAGGUUAUUUAAACGAGGUCGUGAAAAGUGGCAUGUUCAUUUUUGGAUGUUUACCAAUUUUGGUGUUUCAGGUAUUUGCUCAACCGGUACUUGCUGCGGGUUCAAAACGUUGAAACGUAUCCAGAGUCGUCUCCACAAAAGUGCUUUGGAAAUGGAAAUAGGUGUCCUGCUGUACGCUCCUGAUGGAGCUGGUGAAACCGACUUGGUGAAAAUCAGGAAUCACAUCAACGACGACGGAACGAUUCACAACUAAGCGGGGACCAGAUCGCUGUCGUGAUUGAUUGCCCUCCAGGAAAGUUUGAGAAAAAAGGCGAGAAAUUUUCUCCACUUUUAACUGCUGCCGUAGCUUCAUUGCUUCACCUUUUGGAAUCUUUGGUCGCUCACAGGAACCAUCCAAGAGGAUGUAAGACUUCUGCAUCUAAUUAUCAGGACACAGCCGCUUUUUGCGUGUGUGUUAUUAUUUAAAAGAGGACGAAUCUGGACGAAUGAGGAGACAAACUAGUACCGGACGAAGAGAGGAGCACUUUAGGUGAAUGAAAAUUUGGUAACCAAACUGCAGAUUCCUCAGAAGGAUUUGACUACAAAAUGUGUGUUGCUCGCACUUGAUUGAAUCCGAAAUUAAUCCGCUCCAGCAUUAACACUGGAGUAAACCGAGAAGGAAAUCGAU